rnacentral:rRNA from 1 species
GACGAACGCUGGCGGCGUGCCUAAUACAUGCAAGUAGAACGCUGAAGGAGGAGCUUGCUUCUCUGGAUGAGUUGCGAACGGGUGAGUAACGCGUAGGUAACCUGCCUGGUAGCGGGGGAUAACUAUUGGAAACGAUAGCUAAUACCGCAUAAUAGUAGAUGUCGCAUGACAUUUGCUUAAAAGGUGCAAUUGCAUCACUACCAGAUGGACCUGCGUUGUAUUAGCUAGUUGGUGAGGUAACGGCUCACCAAGGCAACGAUACAUAGCCGACCUGAGAGGGUGAUCGGCCAAACUGGGACUGAGACACGGCCCAGACUCCUACGGGAGGCAGCAGUAGGGAAUCUUCGGCAAUGGACGGAAGUCUGACCGAGCAACGCCGCGUGAGUGAAGAAGGUUUUCGGAUCGUAAAGCUCUGUUGUAAGAGAAGAACGAGUGUGAGAGUGGAAAGUUCACACUGUGACGGUAUCUUACCAGAAAGGGACGGCUAACUACGUG